AAUUAGAACACUAACAUAAAAUGAUCCAUUACUUGAUCAAUGAACCAAGUUACCCUGGGGAUAACAGCGCAAUCCAUUUCAAGAGCCCCUAUCGACAAAUGGGUUUACGACCUCGAUGUUGGAUCAGGGUACCCCAGUGGUGCAGCAGCUACUAACGGUUCGUUUGUUCAACGAUUAAAACCCU
rnacentral:rRNA from 1 species